GACGGAGGGGGCAAGCGUUGUCCGGAAUCACUGGGCGUAAAGCGCGUGUAGGUGGCAGUCUGCGUCGGUGCUGAAAUCGCCGGGCUUAACCCGGCGCAGCGUGCCGAUACGAGAGUGCUCGAGGCAGGGAGAGGAUGGCGGAAUUCCGGGUGUAGUGGUGAAAUGCGUAGAGAUCCGGAGGAACGCCAGAGACGAAGGUGGCCAUCUGGCCCUGACCUGACACUGAGACGCGACAGCGUGGGGAGCGAAC
rnacentral:rRNA from 1 species